GUAGGUGGCAAGCGUUGUCCGGAAUUAUUGGGCGUAAAGCGCGCGCAGGCGGUUCUUUAAGUCUGAUGUGAAAGCCCACGGCUCAACCGUGGAGGGUCAUUGGAAACUGGAGAACUUGAGUACAGAAGAGGAAACGCGGAAUUCCACGUGUAGCGGUGAAAUGCGUAGAGAUGUGGAGGAACACCAGUGGCGAAGGCGGCUUUCUGGUCUGUAACUGACGCUGAGGCGCGAAAGCGUGGGGAGCAAACAGGGAUUAGAUACCCUGGUAGUCCACGCCGUAAACGAUGAGUGCUAAGUGUUAGGGGGUUUCCGCCCCCUUAGUGCUGCAGCUAACGCAUUAAGCACUCCGCCUGGGGAGUACGGCCGCAAGGCUG
rnacentral:rRNA from 1 species